ACGAGUGGUGCAAGCGUUAUUCGGAAUCAUUGGGCGUAAAGGGUGUGUAGACGGCAUGCUAAGUCAACUGUUAAAUUCUCCGGCCUAACCGGAGGCAAAUAGUAGAUACUGAUGUGCUAGAGGGUGGAAGAGAGAAGUGGAAUUCUCGGAGUAGCGGUAAAAUGCGUAGAUCUCGAGAGGAACACCAAUGGCGAAGGCAGCUUCUUGGUCCAUUUCUGACGUUGAAACACGAAAGCGUGGGGAGCAAACAGG
rnacentral:rRNA from 1 species